rnacentral:rRNA from 1 species
AGGACGAACGCUGGCGGCGUGCUUAACACAUGCAAGUCGAGCGACGCUCCUCCUUCGGGAGGAUGACGGAGCGGCGAACGGGUGAGUAACACGUGGGCAACCUGCCCCUAGCUCUGGGAUAACCCCGGGAAAAUCGGGACUAAUACCGGAUAUGAAGUCGGACGGCAUCUUCUGACUUGGAAAGUUUUUCGGCUAGGGAUGGGCCCGCGGCCUAUCAGCUUGUUGGUGGGGUAACGGCCUACCAAGGCGACGACGGGUAGCCGGCCUGAGAGGGCGACCGGCCACACUGGGACUGAGACACGGCCCAGACUCCUACGGGAGGCAGCAGUGGGAAUAUUGCACAAUGGGGGCAACCCUGAUCCAGCGAUGCCGCGUGAGUGAAGAAGGCCUUCGGGUCGUAAAGCUCGUUUAGGUUGGGACGAAGGUUAUAGGGGGAUAAGUCCUUAUAGCUUGACGGUACUAACAGAAUAAGCACGGCAACUCUGCGCCAGCACGCCGC